AUUUAUAAGAAUAUGAUGUUGGUUCAGAUUAAGCGCUAAAUAAGGACAUGACACAUGCGAAUCAUACGUUUAUUAUUGAUAAGAUAAUAAAUAUGUGGUGUAAACGUGAGUAAUUUUAUUAGGAAUUAAUGAACUAUAGAAUAAGCUAAAUACUUAAUAUAUUAUUAAAAAAAAAUAAUUUAUAUAAUAAAAAGGAUAUAUAUAUAAUAUAUAUUUAUCUAUAGUCAAGCCAAUAAUGGUUUAGGUAGUAGGUUUAUUAAGAGUUAAACCUAGCCAACGAUCCAUAAUCGAUAAUGAAAGUUAGAACGAUCACGUUGACUCUGAAAUAUAGUCAAUAUCUAUAAGAUACAGCAGUGAGGAAUAUUGGACAAUGAUCGAAAGAUUGAUCCAGUUACUUAUUAGGAUGAUAUAUAAAAAUAUUUUAUUUUAUUUAUAAAUAUUAAAUAUUUAUAAUAAUAAUAAUAAUAUAUAUAUAUAAAUUGAUUAAAAAUAAAAUCCAUAAAUAAUUAAAAUAAUGAUAUUAAUUACCAUAUAUAUUUUUAUAUGGAUAUAUAUAUUAAUAAUAAAAUUAAUUUAUUAUUAUUAAUAAUAUAUUUUAAUAGUCCUGACUAAUAUUUGUGCCAGCAGUCGCGGUAACACAAAGAGGGCGAGCGUUAAUCAUAAUGGUUUAAAGGAUCCGUAGAAUGAAUUAUAUAUUAUAAUUUAGAGUUAAUAAAAUAUAAUUAAAGAAUUAUAAUAGUAAAGAUGAAAUAAUAAUAAUAAUUAUAAGACUAAUAUAUGUGAAAAUAUUAAUUAAAUAUUAACUGACAUUGAGGGAUUAAAACUAGAGUAGCGAAACGGAUUCGAUACCCGUGUAGUUCUAGUAGUAAACUAUGAAUACAAUUAUUUAUAAUAUAUAUUAUAUAUAAAUAAUAAAUGAAAAUGAAAGUAUUCCACCUGAAGAGUACGUUAGCAAUAAUGAAACUCAAAACAAUAGACGGUUACAGACUUAAGCAGUGGAGCAUGUUAUUUAAUUCGAUAAUCCACGACUAACCUUACCAUAUUUUGAAUAUUAUAAUAAUUAUUAUAAUUAUUAUAUUACAGGCGUUACAUUGUUGUCUUUAGUUCGUGCUGCAAAGUUUUAGAUUAAGUUCAUAAACGAACAAAACUCCAUAUAUAUAAUUUUAAUUAUAUAUAAUUUUAUAUUAUUUAUUAAUAUAAAGAAAGGAAUUAAGACAAAUCAUAAUGAUCCUUAUAAUAUGGGUAAUAGACGUGCUAUAAUAAAAUGAUAAUAAAAUUAUAUAAAAUAUAUUUAAUUAUAUUUAAUUAAUAAUAUAAAACAUUUUAAUUUUUAAUAUAUUUUUUUAUUAUAUAUUAAUAUGAAUUAUAAUCUGAAAUUCGAUUAUAUGAAAAAAGAAUUGCUAGUAAUACGUAAAUUAGUAUGUUACGGUGAAUAUUCUAACUGUUUCGCACUAAUCACUCAUCACGCGUUGAAACAUAUUAUUAUCUUAUUAUUUAUAUAAUAUUUUUUAAUAAUUAUUAAUAUUAUUAAUUUUUAUUUAUUUAUAUCAGAAAUAAUAUGAAUUAAUGCGAAGUUGAAAUACAGUUACCGUAGGGGAACCUGCGGUGGGCUUAUAAAUAUC
rnacentral:ncRNA from 1 species